CGUUCUAUGGCCGAAUCGGUCAAAGCAUUGCUUGCUGAUUAAAGGCGAAGAUGCGGGUUCGAGUUCCGCUGGAAUUA
rnacentral:tRNA from 1 species